CUACAAUGAAGAGAUUCUGAACUCUCUCUUUCUGACGCUUUAAUGGAGAAACUAAAAAGGAUCUGAGUAGC